rnacentral:rRNA from 1 species
GGGGAAUAUUGCACAAUGGGGGAAACCCUGAUGCAGCGACGCCGCGUGGAGGAAGAAGGUCUUCGGAUUGUAAACUCCUGUUGUUGAGGAAGAUAAUGACGGUACUCAACAAGGAAGUGACGGCUAACUACGUGCCAGCAGCCGCGGUAAAACGUAGGUCACAAGCGUUGUCCGGAAUUACUGGGUGUAAAGGGAGCGCAGGCGGGCGAUCAAGUUGGAAGUGAAAUCCAUGGGCUCAACCCAUGAACUGCUUUCAAAACUGAUUGUCUUGAGUAGUGCAGAGGUAGGCGGAAUUCCCGGUGUAGCGGUGGAAUGCGUAGAUAUCGGGAGGAACACCAGUGGCGAAGGCGGCCUACUGGGCACCAACUGACGCUGAGGCUCGAAAGUGUGGGUAGCAAACAGGAUUAGAUACCCUGGUAGUCCACACCGUAAACGAUGAUUACUAGGUGUUGGAGGAUUGACCCCUUCAGUGCCGCAGUUAACACAAUAAGUAAUCCACCUGGGGAGUACGACCGCAAGGUUGAAACUCAAAGGAAUUGACGGGGGCCCGCACAAGCAGUGGAGUAUGUGGUUUAAUUCGACGCAACGCGAAGAACCUUACCAAGUCUUGACAUCCUGCGACGGUGCUAGAAAUAGUAUUUUCCUUCGGGACGCAGAGACAGGUGGUGCAUGGUUGUCGUCAGCUCGUGUCGUGAGAUGUUGGGUUAAGUCCCGCAACGAGCGCAACCCUUAUGGUCAGUUACUACGCAAGAGGACUCUGGCCAGACUGCCGUUGACAAAACGGAGGAAGGUGGGGAUGACGUCAAAUCAUCAUGCCCUUUAUGACUUGGGCUACACACGUACUACAAUGGCGUUAAACAAAGAGAAGCAAGACCGCGAGGUGGAGCAAAACUCAGAAACAACGUCCCAGUUCGGACUGCAGGCUGCAACUCGCCUGCACGAAGUCGGAAUUGCUAGUAAUCGCAGAUCAGCAUGCUGCGGUGAAUACGUUCCCG